rnacentral:rRNA from 1 species
UACGAAGGGUGCUAGCGUUGUUCGGAAUUACUGGGCGUAAAGCGUAUGUAGGCGGCUUGAUAAGUCAGCUGUGAAAGCCCGAAGCUCAACUUCGGAAUUGCAGUUGAAACUGUCUGGCUAGAAUUUGGUGGGGGAUGAUGGAAUUCCUAGUGUAGGGGUGAAAUCCGUAGAUAUUAGGAGGAACACCAGUGGCGAAGGCGAUCAUCUAUGCCAAUAUUGACGCUGAGAUACGAAGGCGUGGGGAGCAAACAGG